rnacentral:rRNA from 1 species
CGGCACGGGUGAGUAACACGUAUCCAACCUGCCGUCUACUCUUGGACAGCCUUCUGAAAGGAAGAUUAAUACAAGAUGGCAUCAUGAGUCCGCAUGUUCACAUGAUUAAGGGUAUUCCGGUAGACGAUGGGGAUGCGUUCCAUUAGAUAGUAGGCGGGGUAACGGCCCACCUAGUCUUCGAUGGAUAGGGGUUCUGAGAGGAAGGUCCCCCACAUUGGAACUGAGACACGGUCCAA